rnacentral:rRNA from 1 species
AAGAAACUUACAACAAAGAGUCCCUCCCGACUGUUUACCAAAAACACAGCACUCUGCUAACUCGUAAGAGGAUGUAUAGGGUGUGACGCCUGCCCGGUGCUCGAAGGUUAAUUGAUGGGGUUAGCAUUAGCGAAGCUCUUGAUCGAAGCCCGAGUAAACGGCGGCCGUAACUAUAACGGUCCUAAGGUAGCGAAAUUCCUUGUCGGUUAAAUACCGACCUGCAUGAAUGGCGUAACGAGAUGGGAGCUGUCUCAAAGAGGGAUCCAGUGAAAUUGUAGUGGAGGUGAAAAUUCCUCCUACCCGCGGCAAGACGGAAAGACCCCGUGGACCUUUACUACAGCUUGACACUGCUACUUGGAUAAGAAUGUGCAGGAUAGGUGGGAGGCUUUGAGUAUAUGACGCCAGUUGUAUAUGAGCCAUUGUUGAGAUACCACUCUUUCUUAUUUGGGUAGCUAACCGGCUUGAGUUAUCCUCAAGUGGGACAAUGUCUGGUGGGUAGUUUGACUGGGGCGGUCGCCUCCCAAAUAAUAACGGAGGCUUACAAAGGUUGGCUCAGAACGGUUGGAAAUCGUUCGUAGAGUAUAAAGGUAUAAGCCAGCUUAACUGCAAGACAUACAAGUCAAGCAGAGACGAAAGUCGGUCUUAGUGAUCCGGUGGUUCUGUGUGGAAGGGCCAUCGCUCAAAGGAUAAAAGGUACCCCGGGGAUAACAGGCUGAUCUCCCCCAAGAGCUCACAUCGACGGGGAGGUUUGGCACCUCGAUGUCGGCUCAUCGCAUCCUGGGGCUGGAGCAGGUCCCAAGGGUAUGGCUGUUCGCCAUUUAAAGCGGUACGCGAGCUGGGUUCAGAACGUCGUGAGACAGUUCGGUCCCUAUCUGCCGUGGGCGUAAGAAGAUUGAAGAGAUUUGACCCUAGUACGAGAGGACCGGGUUGAACAAACCACUGGUGUAGCUGUUGUUCUGCCAAGAGCAUCGCAGCGUAGCUAAGUUUGGAAAGGAUAAACGCUGAAAGCAUCUAAGCGUGAAGCCAACUCUAAGAUGAAUCUUCUCUAAGCUCUCUAGAAGACUACUAGUUUGAUAGGCUGGGUGUGUAAUGGAUGAAAGUCCUUUAGCUGACCAGUACUAAUAGAGCGUUUGGCUUAUCUUUAAUAAAGCAU